rnacentral:rRNA from 1 species
UGGGGAAUAUUGGACAAUGGGCGCAAGCCUGAUCCAGCCAUGCCGCGUGAGUGAUGAAGGCCCUAGGGUUGUAAAGCUCUUUCACCGGUGAAGAUAAUGACGGUAACCGGAGAAGAAGCCCCGGCUAACUUCGUGCCAGCAGCCGCGGUAAUACGAAGGGGGCUAGCGUUGUUCGGAUUUACUGGGCGUAAAGCGCACGUAGGCGGACUUUUAAGUCAGGGGUGAAAUCCCGGGGCUCAACCCCGGAACUGCCUUUGAUACUGGACGUCUUGAGUAUGGUAGAGGUGGGUGGAAUUCCGAGUUUAGAGGUGAAAUUCGUAAAUAUUCGGAGGAAAACCAGUGGCGAAGGCGGCUCCCUGGACCAUUACUGACGCUGAGGUGCGAAAGCGUGGGGGGCAAACAGG